GUUGUAUGGUUAAGUAACAAAGCGUAUACGGUGGAUGCCUAGGCAGUUAGAGGCGAUGAAGGACGUGUAAGUCUGCGAAAAGCUGUGGUGAGCUGACAAAACGCAUUUGAGCCACAGAUGUCCGAAUGGGGAAACCCAGUGCAUUUAUGCAUUAUCACUUAGUGAAUACAUAGCUAAGUGAGGCGAACCGGGAGAACUGAAACAUCUAAGUACCCCGAGGAAAAGAAAUCAACCGAGAUUCCCCUAGUAGCGGCGAGCGAACGGGGAGUAGCCCUUAAGUUAUCAGUGUUUUAGUGGAAGGCUCUGGAAAGUGCCGCCAUAGUGGGUGAUAGCCCCGUACACAAAGGAACGCUGAUAGUGAAAUCGAGUAGGUCGGGACACGUGUUAUCUUGACUGAACAUGGGGGACCAUCCUCCAAGGCUAAAUACUCCUAACUGACCGAUAGUGAACCAGUACCGUGAGGGAAAGGCGAAAAGAACCCCUGUGAGGGGAGUGAAAUAGAACCUGAAACCGUAUACGUACAAGCAGUCGGAGCCCUUCGGGGUGACGGCGUACCUUUUGUAUAAUGGGUCAGCGACUUAUAUUUAGUAGCGAGGUUAACCGAUUAGGGGAGCCGUAGCGAAAGCGAGUGUUAACUGCGCGUUCAGUUGCUAGGUAUAGACCCGAAACCCGGUGAUCUAGCCAUGGGCAGGUUGAAGGUUGAGUAACAUCAACUGGAGGACCGAACUCACUAAUGUUGAAAAAUUAGGAGAUGACUUGUGGCUGGGGGUGAAAGGCCAAUCAAACCGGGAGAUAGCUGGUUCUCCCCGAAAGCUAUUUAGGUAGCGCCUCGGACGAACACCUACGGGGUAGAGCACUGUUUGGGCUAGGGGGUCAUCCCGACUUACCAACCCCAUGCAAACUCCGAAUACCGUAGAGUGCUAUCCGGGAGACACACGGCGGGUGCUAACGUCCGUCGUGAAGAGGGAAACAACCCAGACCGCCAGCUAAGGUCCCAAAAUAUUGCUAAGUGGGAAACGAUGUGGAAAGGCCCAGACAGCUAGGAGGUUGGCUUAGAAGCAGCCACCCUUUAAAGAAAGCGUAAUAGCUCACUAGUCGAGUCGGUCUGCGCGGAAGAUGUAACGGGGCUAAGCAAUAUACCGAAGCUGCGGCAGCGUGCAUCACCAGAAGCUAUUGGAUUAACGUCGACGCGCGAAGCGCCCGACGGUAAAGCGUUCUCAACACAGUCGAGGCUGUAUGGGAAAGCGAGAUGCAGUAGUUUGUGGGAUGCACGCUGGGUAGGGGAGCGUUGUGUAAGUGGCUGAAGGUGACUCGAGAGGGUUGCUGGACAUAUCACAAGUGCGAAUGCUGACAUGAGUAACGAUAAAGGGGGUGAAAAACCCCCUCGCCGGAAGACCAAGGUUUCCUGUCCCAUGCUAAUCAGGGCAGGGUAAGUCGGCCCCUAAGGCGAGGCCGAAAGGCGUAGUCGAUGGGAAACGGGUUAAUAUUCCCGUACCGGUAUUAUCAGUGAAGGGGGGACGGAGAAGGCUAUGCAGGCAUGGCGUUGGUAGUCCAUGUGAAAGUGCGUAGGGAGAUGAAUUAGGUAAAUCCGGUUCAUUAAUUCUGAGACACGAGACGAGUCACUACGGUGAUGAAGUUGCAGAUGCCCUGCUUCCAGGAAAAGCCUCUAAGCUUAUGAUAAUACUGACCGUACCCCAAACCGACACAGGUGGUCAGGUAGAGAAUACCAAGGCGCUUGAGAGAACUCGGGUGAAGGAACUCGGCAAAAUAGUACCGUAACUUCGGGAGAAGGUACGCCCCUGUUUGUGAAGGCUUUACGCCGUAAGCGAAUGGGGGCCGCAGUGACCAGGUGGCUGGGACUGUUUAUUAAAAACACAGCACUGUGCUAAAUCGAAAGAUGACGUAUACGGUGUGACACCUGCCCGGUGCCGGAAGGUUAAUUGAUGGGGUUAGCUUAGGCGAAGCUCUUGAUCGAAGCCCCGGUAAACGGCGGCCGUAACUAUAACGGUCCUAAGGUAGCGAAAUUCCUUGUCGGGUAAGUUCCGACCUGCACGAAUGGUGUAACCAUGGCCACGCUGUCUCCACCCGAGACUCAGUGAAAUUGAAAUUGCCGUGAAGAUGCGGUGUACCCGCGGCUAGACGGAAAGACCCCGUGAACCUUUACUACAGCUUGGCACUGAACAUUGACCCUACAUGUGUAGGAUAGGUGGGAGGCUAUGAAGCAUUGUCGCCAGAUGAUGUGGAGCUGCCCUUGAAAUACCACCCUUGUAUGUUUGAUGUUCUAACGUUGGUCCCUUAUCGGGAUUGCGGACAGUGUCUGGUGGGUAGUUUGACUGGGGCGGUCUCCUCCCAAAGCGUAACGGAGGAGCACGAAGGUUGGCUAAUCCUGGUCGGACAUCAGGAGGUUAGUGUAAUGGCAUAAGCCAGCUUAACUGCGAGACAGACACGUCGAGCAGGUACGAAAGUAGGUCAUAGUGAUCCGGUGGUUCUGAAUGGAAGGGCCAUCGCUCAACGGAUAAAAGGUACUCCGGGGAUAACAGGCUGAUACCGCCCAAGAGUUCAUAUCGACGGCGGUGUUUGGCACCUCGAUGUCGGCUCAUCACAUCCUGGGGCUGAAGUCGGUCCCAAGGGUAUGGCUGUUCGCCAUUUAAAGUGGUACGCGAGCUGGGUUUAGAACGUCGUGAGACAGUUCGGUCCCUAUCUGCCGUGGGCGCUGGAUGAUUGAGGGGAGCUGCUCCUAGUACGAGAGGACCGGAGUGGACGAACCGCUGGUGUUCGGGUUGUCAUGCCAAUGGCACUGCCCGGUAGCUACGUUCGGAAUCGAUAACCGCUGAAAGCAUCUAAGCGGGAAGCGAGCCCCAAGAUGAGUCAUCCCUGACAGUUUACUGUCCUGAAGGGUUGUCUGAGACUAAGACGUUGAUAGGCAGGGUGUGGAAGCGUUGUAAGGCGUUAAGCUAACCUGUACUAAUUGCCCGUGAGGCUUAACCAUACAACGCCCAA
rnacentral:rRNA from 1 species